UUUUAAAUUUCCAAUCUGAUAAUUCCAACAUCUCUGCUAUAUCUGAGUCUGGUUCUGAUGCUUGGUUUGUUUCUUUAGACUGUGUUUUUCACCUUCUGCCAUGCUUCAGACAUUGUUGUUGAAAGACGUGAUGUAUUGGGUAAAAGGAACUCAAGUAAAUAGGUCUUUUGUGUGAGGUUUUAGGUUUAUUUGAUUUUGUGUUAGGCUGUAUUUACUGUUUGCCAUAGUAUUAGUGUCAGACGCUAACAUUUCUUCAGGUAUCCUUGUUUCUCUCUCCUCUGUUGUAUUAUUUAGGUUUUCCUGGAGUGUCAAAUAGAAUCUGAGCCUUGGAAUUCUUUUCAGCUGCAAUGCCCUGUUAUUAUUCAGAAGCCCUGUUGAUGUGGUGGACGCCUGCCACAGCAUGGCUUGCCAAGUGGUGCCAUUUCCGCACCCGAGAUCCGAACCGGCAAACCCCAGGCCUCCGAAGUGGAACAUGUGAAAUUUACCGCUGUGCCACCGGGCCGGCCCUAAAACACUUACUUAAGGAGUCAGAAUUUGCAUUGAAAAGGUGCUGUUUUUCAAGCUGCUCUGACAAUGUUCUUCCCAAGAAUCAAGAGAAGCUGGACACCAAUUUUAGUCUUUGUAUACUAAAAUCACUUUAUCACAGUUUGGUGACUUGGAUGGGAUAAAACUUAACUGGCUGGAUACUGCCCAUUCCUGGACUACUGCAGCUGAAAGGUCCUGGACCCCUUGCAAAGAGCCCACAGGAAUUAAGUGUUCUUACCAUGUCAGUCUCCUGGAUCUCUGCCUGCAGUGUCCAAAGGAAGCGAGAAUGUCAUUGAGAACAGAACCUGUCCUUUUUCCUGAGGCCUUGCAAACUGAAGCUGGACAACUUGACAUUAACUUUAGAGAGACUCAUGUCUGUUGCUGUGUAAGCCACUCAGAAAGAUAUCUGAACACAUAAUGACAUCAUCAGGGACAUGUCAAGCUGCAAAAGAUGCUUCAACUGUGACAUCUAAAAAUCUUCUUAACUGGCUGUCUUCUGGGCUCAGAAACUGGUUUAUAAUUUGAUCCAGCCAUUAACCUUGGUUUUCUUUUUCUGUUUCCAGAAAAAUACUUCUUAUUAAAUACCUGAUGCUUGCUUCCACAAUAUAGGUCUAGCUUUUGGAGCCCACCUGCAUUACUACCUUCUAAAAUGAAUUUAAAUGGACUUAUCUAUUAUCAAGACUAAGAAAUAUGUUCAGUGAGAUGGAACAAUCUGCCAACUCAGCUUUUGGACUAUGAAGCUUCUUAAAGUCUAAUGGACUGUGCAACUUCUUAAAGUUUCAAAGAUGGGACUGUGGGGGAUCAAAAUUGGCCACCCCAAAAUGUGUCUCUUUGUCUUUAAAGAACAAAAGACUCUGAAAGAAACUUGACCUCUGCCCUCAACUACCCAAAAUGAUUUAAGAUAAUAAGCCUGUCCCCAGGACAGGACAUCACCAUAGAUAACUCUCAGUAUCAGUAGACUGUGAGGGUCCUUGCUAAGCCCAUUCUUAUCUACCAAACAUUUACUUUUCUGCUUCCAUGUGAAUUGCCUCCCUCCCCUUUGAAGUCCCAAACCACUGACCCCAACACCCUCCUUUGUCUUUACCUGAAGAUGCUAUUUAAGAUGACAACGUCUGCCAUUUUGUUGAGUUACUCAGUUUUCCUGGGUCUCUCCCAUGUAUACAUGUUAUAAAGCUUUGUUUGAUUUUUCUCCUGUUAUUCUGUUUCAUGCCAAUUUACUUUGUAGCCCAGCCAGAAGGACCCAGAGGGUAGAGGAUUUGUCUUCCUCCCCUACAAUAGUUACCUUUGAUGUUUUCCUUUCCUUUAUCUUUUAAGUCAUAAUUAAGUAUUUGCUACCCUGCUCUGAAAGAAAGCUGGUUUUCUGACUUUGUCUCUCAUUUAUCUCCUUGCUCAAAGUUUUGUAACCUUUGCCUUUUUGUUUCAGGUGUGAGGGUGUCCUUGAUCAUUUCUUGUAGGGGAGGUCUAGUGGCAGUGAAAUCCCUCUACUUUUGUUUAUCUUGGAAAGCUUUUACUUCUCCAUUAUAUCUGAAGGACAGUUUCACUGUGUAUAAUAUUCUUGGCUGAAAGCUUUUGUCUUUCCAAUUUUUAAUAUAUUAUUCCAUUCUUUCCUAGCCUGUAAGAUUUCUGCUGAGAAAUCUGCUGAAAGCCUGAUAGGGGUUCCUCUGUAGAUUAUUUUCUUCUGCCUUGCUGCCCUUAAUAUUUU
rnacentral:lncRNA from 1 species